rnacentral:rRNA from 1 species
UACGUAGGUGGCAAGCGUUGUCCGGAUUUACUGGGCGUAAAGCGUAUGCAGGCGGAUGAGUAAGUAGGAAGUGAAAGGUUGGAGCUCAACUCUAACACUGCUCCCUAUACUGCUUGUCUUGAGUGCCGGAGAGGAAGAAGGAACGGGUCGUGUAGCGGUGAAAUGCGUUGAGAUGACUCGGAACACCAAUGGCGAAAGCAUUCUUCUGGACGGAAACUGACGCUGAGAUACGAAAGCCAAGGGAGCGAACAGG